rnacentral:rRNA from 1 species
UGCGUAGGCGGCUUAGUAAGUCAGGAGUGAAAGUUUGCGGCUCAACCGUAAAAUUGCUUUUGAUACUGCUAAGCUGGAAUUAGGAUGAGGUCAGGCGGAAUGUGGCAUGUAGCGGUGAAAUGCAUAGAUAUGCCAUAGAACACCAAUUGCGAAGGCAGCUGGCUAGACCUGGAUUGACGCUGAGGCACGAAAGCGUGGGGAGCGAACA